UUGAACGCUGGCGGCAUGCCUUACACAUGCAAGUCGAACGGCAGCACGGGAGCAAUCCUGGUGGCGAGUGGCGAACGGGUGAGUAAUAUAUCGGAACGUGCCCAGUCUGGGGGAUAACGUAGCGAAAGCUACGCUAAUACCGCAUACGAUCUAUGGAUGAAANCGGGGGAUCGCAAGACCUCGCGCGAUUGGANCGGCCGAUAUCAGAUUAGGUAGUUGGUGAGGUAAAGGCUCACCAAGCCGACGAUCUGUAGCUGGUCUGAGAGGACGACCAGCCACACUGGGACUGAGACACGGCCCCAGACUCCUACGGGAGGCAGCAGUGGGGAAUUUUGGACAAUGGGCGCAAGCCUGAUCCAGCAAUGCCGCGUGCAGGAUGAAGGCCUUCGGGUUGUAAACUGCUUUUGUACGGAACGAAACGGUGAGCUCUAAUACAGUUUGCUAAUGACGGUACCGUAAGAAUAAGCACCGGCUAACUACGUG
rnacentral:rRNA from 1 species